CCCUUUUUUCCCCCCAAUCAUCCCUCUUAUAUAUGAGUUUUCCCCCCGCCAGGAUGAACGCUAGCGGCAGGCUUAACACAUGCAAGUCGAGGGGUAUAGUUCUUCGGAACUAGAGACCGGCGCACGGGUGCGUAACGCGUAUGCAAUCUACCUUUCACAGAGGGAUAGCCCAGAGAAAUUUGGAUUAAUACCUCAUAGUAUUAUAGAGUGGCAUCACUUUAUAAUUAAAGUCACAACGGUGAAAGAUGAGCAUGCGUCCCAUUAGCUAGUUGGUAAGGUAACGGCUUACCAAGGCAACGAUGGGUAGGGGUCCUGAGAGGGAGAUCCCCCACACUGGUACUGAGACACGGACCAGACUCCUACGGGAGGCAGCAGUGAGGAAUAUUGGACAAUGGGCGCAAGCCUGAUCCAGCCAUGCCGCGUGCAGGAUGACGGUCCUAUGGAUUGUAAACUGCUUUUGUACAGGAAGAAACACUGGUUCGUGAACCAGCUUGACGGUACUGUAAGAAUAAGGAUCGGCUAACUCCGUGCCAGCAGCCGCGGUAAUACGGAGGAUCCAAGCGUUAUCCGGAAUCAUUGGGUUUAAAGGGUCCGUAGGCGGUUUAGUAAGUCAGUGGUGAAAGCCCAUCGCUCAACGGUGGAACGGCCAUUGAUACUGCUAAACUUGAAUUAUUAGGAAGUAACUAGAAUAUGUAGUGUAGCGGUGAAAUGCUUAGAGAUUACAUGGAAUACCAAUUGCGAAGGCAGGUUACUACUAAUGGAUUGACGCUGAUGGACGAAAGCGUGGGUAGCGAACAGGAUUAGAUACCCUGGUAGUCCACGCCGUAAACGAUGGAUACUAGCUGUUGGAAGCAAUUUCAGUGGCUAAGCGAAAGUGAUAAGUAUCCCACUGGAGAUUGAAAG
rnacentral:rRNA from 1 species